rnacentral:tRNA from 1 species
AAGAUUUUAAGUUAAAUAAACUAGAAGCCUUCAAAGCUUAAAAUAAAAAGUAUUUUAAAUCUUA